UUUCAAGCACCACUGUAAUUUUCAUUCGACUAGCACUUUAAAUAUUGAAAAAAUAGGUUACAGCUAUUCGCCUAUUGCUUCCCGAAUAAUAUUGGCAAUAUUUUCCUGUUAUCUUGAAUAACGUUAGUCUAUAUCCAUUUUUAGCCACCCUAUAUUUAGAAAAAAAAAAUUCAUCUCGCCUGCAACAUUAGCUUAAAACCCGUUCUCUCAGAACUCUGUGGUUCCAGAUGGGUUUUCCAACACAAAAUGUUAGCUAUGUCAUCCAGAUCUUAAUACUAGUACUUAGUACUAUAUUCAACAACUAAAUUGAUUGUACAUGUUCACCUCCAUGUUUUACUGAUUUCAACCAAAAAAAAAAAGUGGCCAGUGCAGAGGGACAGAGCAGCAUUGAUUCCUUCUUGAGUCAGACAAGGUGUGGAAGUAUACAAACAGGACCAUCCCAGAGAGAAGGCCAUGACUGAAUCCAUACAGGACCUCAGCAUUUCAUGCAACCUCCUUCUGUCUUUGAUGGACAAGCCAAGCUUCAAGAAUUUCAUGUCAGUGGUGGAAGAGAGGUACUGCCCAGUAAGUUGAUGCACCAUACCCAGAUCUCUGAGUGAGCUACUGGCAGAAAAAGAGUCCAAGAUAAAAUCCAAACUCGAAAAGGCAGACACUGUGUCUGACUCUGGAUGUUUGGACUCCCAGGAGUAUGUGUGGCUUUUUAGGAGUCACAGCCCACUUCAUGGAAAUGGAGAAAAACAGCCCAAGACUGUAGACAGUUCUUUUAAGUUGCGAACAAUUUACAGGGUCACACACUGAAGAAAGAAUAAGUGAGAAAUGUGACAACUUUAAUAUAAAACACAAAAUUAUCUGUGAUAAUGCCUCAAAUGUGAAGAAAGCCUUCAGUUUGUUUUCCCUUGGCUACAAAAGCCGUUGAAGAUGACCUGGAAAACAGCAACCUCUGGGAGGACAUGAGUGAGGAUAACCAGGAUGAUGUACAAUCCAUCCAGAGCAGCUGAUGGCAACAGCAGCUACAGUGCUUUGCCUGUGCCUUGCUUCUUAUUGUGUGAGAUUAGACUGAAGGAGACAAAAAUUGUGAACAGUGCAAUAGUGACGGUGACAAAAUUCUGCAGUUUACUUUAUUCCACUUGUGGGCUGAAGGAAGCAUUUGAAGCAGAAUAUGGAGCCGAUCAAAGCAUCCCCUCUGCUGUAUCAACACAAUGGAAUACAACUCUCCACCUUGUGGAGGCAAUCACUGACCUGGAUCCCCAAAGUCUAAAUACUCUCCUGGAAGACCAAGAACAUAAAGGUUUGUGCUUAUCAGCAAGGGAAUAGAGUCAGUUGAAAGAACUUGUGGAGAUUUUGUCUCCAUUUCUUCAAGCAACAGACCACACUCAAGGGGAGAAAGUGGUGAGACUCAGUGCAUCUCUCCUUUGUGCACUCUCACUCAACAGCUGUCUUGUCAGUAUGCUAAAUGCAACUCAUCACUUGUUGGUUUGGUGAAAGCACUGUACUGUCCUUACACCAGAUGAAGUCAAGAGUAAGAUCUUGUAUUGGCUGAGGCUUGGAAAGUCACCAUACCAGAGAGCAGUAGUGGAGAAGAUGAUCAGGAUGAGCCACUGCCUGCUAAAACUCCAUGUCUCUUCUCUGGCUCCUAGAAGAAAAGUAACAAGGAGAAUGUAGACUAUGGUUCAUCUGUCAAGGCUGAACUUGUUCGCCAUUUCCAGAUGUCCACUGAUUAAUUGGACUGCCUGGAAUUCUGGAAAAGGCAUGGAAAGGUCUUCCUGAGGCUCUGUCUUGUGGCUAUGAGAGUGCUUGGUGUUCCUACUAACUGUGCACCAAUGGAGAGGGUAUUUGGUCAAUGAGUCCUUAUCAUACGCCUUCACUGAGCCAGGCUUACUGCAAAGACACUCUCAACCUUGAUCUUUUUCAAAUAUAACUAUUCUGUUGCAUUAAAUUUUCUUGGUCUGAGGCCACUGGAGGACACCUAAAAUCCUGUUAAUAGAAAUGUUUUGUGGCCCAUAUCUAGGGUAUUAAGAGAAGAUGGUCAAGCAGUUAUUGAAGGCUUUAUAGUUGUAACUGUUAUUAUUUAUUUCUUCAUUCAUUCAUUUGUGUUCAAAGAAAAUGAUCUGUCAUCAGUUUUUGUUGCUUCAUGGUUGGGGCCAGUUGACUUUCAAAGUUUUUCAUCAAAAAUGUAAAUACUGAAAAAUGUGAAGCAAUCAGAAAGGUGUGCUAUCCAGCCAACAAAGAAAUGACUGAUAAUUACUUUUUGAUAAUUGAUGCUCAACACAGACAAACAUCAUGUAUCCUUUAGUGCAGACUGAAAAAAAAUGAAAAUGUUGCAAAAUACAGUUAUUAAUUUGAAAA